AGUUCAUUAACCUGUUUGAUAUUACAGUUUUAUUCUCCCAAAGGACAAGAGGAACAGCAGGUCACAAGUGCCCAGAACCAGCAGACCUGGCCUCAAUGUGACGCAGGAGUUUCCAGCACCUUUUUAGUUCACAGAGACAUCUCAACCUUCAGUGCAUAUUCCAACAUUCCUCCAAAACUUUGUAGAUUGACCACCACUGGUGCCACAGAGAAGCCCAACCAGCUGACUGGAUCUGGCAGGAAGACAAUGAAUUAAUCCAUUUUACGAUGACUUUCAAAGUUUCAAAAUGUGUUUUGGAUCUGCCUUGGAGUGAAAACAAAACCUUCUGAACUCUUUCAUACAAUGAAAUCAUGUCAAGACCAUUUUUGCCUGGGAAGGCUCUGAGGUUGCCUCCAUGGUGCAGACUAUGAAGACAGCCUCGUUAUUGCCCCUGGAGGCCAGGUGGCUGCUUAUUGCUCUGAAAAUGGCAGCUCAGCGACAUCUAAAAACAUAACGAUGUUUUCAGAUCCAGGCAUACAAGAUAGUUCCUACUCUGGAUAUUUUCUUCUAGGUAGGAUAUCUACUGUGACUUGUGAAUCCUUGGGAAUAACUCAGUUCCUCAUGAUGGUGUAAGGUCACAGUGAUCUUGGGUUUCUGUGACAACAAACCAGCCGUGGGCAAAGUGGACUGGGAUCUCAGUUCCCAGCCUAACCUUUCACUUUUACAGAUACC